UGGGGAAUAUUGCACAAUGGGCGCAAGCCUGAUGCAGCGACGCCGCGUGGGGGAUGACGGCCUUCGGGUUGUAAACCUCUUUCGUCAGGGAAGAAGCCUUUUUGGGGUGACGGUACCUGGAGAAGAAGCACCGGCUAACUACGUGCCAGCAGCCGCGGUAAUACGUAGGGUGCGAGCGUUGUCCGGAAUUAUUGGGCGUAAAGAGCUUGUAGGCGGUUUGUCGCGUCUGCGGUGAAAACCCGGGGCUUAACCUUGGGCGUGCCGUGGGUACGGGCAGGCUAGAGUGUGGUAGGGGAGACUGGAAUUCCUGGUGUAGCGGUGAAAUGCGCAGAUAUCAGGAGGAACACCGAUGGCGAAGGCAGGUCUCUGGGCCAUAACUGACGCUGAGAAGCGAAAGCAUGGGGAGCGAACAGG
rnacentral:rRNA from 1 species